GCGACUAGGGUUCCAAGGAUCUUUGAUUUUCCUUUUCUUGCUGUGAUAGAAGUCUCGAUUGAAGGUAGUUGUCGACAGAAGCUUUAGGGCAAUGAGGUGGAUUUCCAGCAGCCACCUUGUUUAUGGCUGUGAGUUUGAGGACUCUGAUUUGAGACGAGCAAUUCGACGUUGGACUUGACUGGAUUGGACCUGCUAUUUGAGGCGGGUACCUCUUGACUUAUCUUUUAUGAUAUUGUCAUUUGGAUAUGCAUAGUAUUUUAUAGCUACAAGCAAUGAUCAUGUUGUUUUUGGUAUGUCUCAG